UUGAGUGGGCAGUUACCAGAGCACUGCUGUUGGAGAUCCUACACCCCAGGGCUUCCAGAUAGCAGGCAGGCAGGAGGGAGGGUCCUGCAGUGUUCAUCCUGAAGAGCCCUAGCUGGUACAGUCUUCCUCUGAGAAGUACUUGGAGAAGUAUUUUCCUAAAUCACUGAAGAUUCUCUUCGGAUUAUCUGCUGGGAGUGAGCGAGGUAUUAAACUUUAAUUUGGGGGAGUACACUUUAAGAUGGGCCUUGAUAAACUAGGGAGGAUCCAGCAUAGGCAGAGAGGAUGCCAAAGAUGCCUGGAAAUGAUUUAUGUAGAGUGAAAGAAAGAGAGGUUUAACUUUGAAAGUGAAGGCCAAGAUGAUGUCUUUCAAUAUUUAAACAGCUGUCAUGUGGCCAAGCUAGAUCCCUUGUUCUGAAUUAUUCUGUACACAGACUAAGACCAAUGAAAGGAAAUUAAAAAGUGGCAGAUUCUAUGACCACAAACCUACCAAUGAGGAGUGAAUGUCCUGGGAAGUGGAGUUAUCUAUCGCUCAUAUAUCUAAGAUAAGAAUUACCAACUGUAGAACCAGCAAAUAAAGCCUGCAAAUAUUUGCUUCUUCUGAGCAAGUUGUACCUAUUGUUCAUAUCGGACAGUCAGCAUGAAGAAGGAAGAUACGGUGCUACUGGCUGGCUGGAUCCUUUCUGAGCUGUACUAAGCAGUGAGAUCCAUAAUCUUUGAGCUUUCCAAAGGAUGUCCCAGUUGGGUCAGCAAGUAUGUGAACAUGCUCUCUGCAGCUUUAAAGAGAAUUGAAGAGUGAUUUGCCCAACUGGAGGAUGCUGUUGUGGGAAGCACAUCUGGCAGAGUCCAGAUGGAGGAUAUCUGGAACAGUGGGGACAACUGGAAUUCAAGGUUGAGAGAAACACAUCUAGGGGAUUUAGAGUGUUCACUGAGCUGCUUGGGGUAGAGAAGAACACAGUUGAGUCACCUGGAAGCAGUUUGGAAUGACUGUGCUAUAAAUGAGAAAACAGCCUGAGACCAAGAAUGAAGAAAGCAGCUACUUGUCCAUCUUGUAGCAGAUGUUUGACCAGAUGGCCACUGCAUGGCCUUUGUUGAGAAGAAACCACCUGGCUUUUAAGGAUUCUACAGAAAUCAAGCAAUGGAUCAACAAGUGGAGAAAAGCACCUGUUAGAGAUGAGGAUCCACACUAGCUGCUUUGAGCUUGAAGAUGCAUGGCACAGUUGCUGUCUUCAACCAACCACUGAUUUAAAUGAAAGAUAUGAUGUAACAGUGGACGUUUUUCCUUGCUUCCCUAAUGUCUCUUGGGAAACCACGUUUCAGCAAUUCCUAAGUCAUAUGUAUGUGGCAGCACUAUCUCCAGAUCGAGGCCAUAAUUCCCAGGCCAAAAGCCAAGGACAAAGGGAUGGGUCAGUAGUACAAGUUGAGCCCAAAUAAAUAGCCCUACAUCUUCCCAGAGCUGUGACGAAGAGGCUCCAGUCUGUAGAAUGAGUCUCCAGCACCAAGAGUAUAGGGAGGAAAGGAAAGAGAGAAAGGAACAUUGGUUAGAUUGUGUUGUUGGAGCAUUGAUACAGCCUUGCCUGAAGUUCCCUGGAUUUCCCUGAAGACCUUGGGCUUUCCAGGUACAUGAUACAUAAUCUUCAUCCCCUUUUUUUCCUUGAGCCAGUGUAAGCUGGGUUUCUCUCCUUGUCAGCUGAAGAGCCCUAAGAAUUGGUACUUUACUUUAGUCAACUGGAAUGGCUUCUUAGACAGUCUGCUACCAUUCAUCUUCCGGACAUCAAGCCCAGCUGAGGGUUUUGGCAAACAAGCCCAGCAUGAGUGUUGAUAAAUUUGCUGUAACUGCCAGACUUUUCUGCUGGCUAUUUUAAGGUUGAUGUGUUUUCAGAAGCUAGGAGAGAAACUGCUAGGACACUUAUUUGGUGACAUGUAGAUUAAUCUGAUCUUCACUAGCAAUGCCCUCAUUUGAUCACAAUAACCAUUCCUAAUAAGACAUCCCUCUGUCCUAUAAAAUCAGUUUUCUACCUGUGUGAAUGCGAUCCAGAGGCAAUAUUUGAGGCAGCAUUUGAUUCUUUGGCUCUUAGUAUAAAUAUGGGAUGUAACUGAAUAUGUGACUUAUAACUUCAGUUACCUUUUCCAUUCAUAAUUCUGUGUUAGAAACUGAUCUAUAAUCUCAGAUGAGUCACAGCUGGGAUUACUAAAAGAGAAAAUUCAGCCCAGGCUUAGGGUAACAGAAAAGACAAGAGAUAUUUUUGAAAUAUAUUUGAUAUUUCCAGGACCCUCACCUUCACCCAAGAUACCAACAUCCAAUGUUGCUCAGGAAUCUUACAUAUAAUGGCAUAGUAUUUGUGUAUAACCUACAUACAUCUUCCUGUAUAGUUUAACCAUCUCUAAAUUGCUUACAAUAUAUAAUCAAUAUAAAAUCCACAAAAUAGCUAUUAUGCUAUAUUGCCUAGGGAAUAGUGACAAGGAAACAUAGUUACUAGAGAAACAUAAAAAUAUUUUCAAUCCAUGGUUGGUUGAAUCCACAGAUACAGAAAACAUGGUUAUGGAGGGCUGACUAUAUUCAUUUUGUAAGUUAGAAUUGUAUUGAUGUUCAAUUAUAUAUUAGUCGGGAGUGAGAAAUAUACCAUAAUUUAGCCUCUGAAUAUUUUAAUCUAUUUCUAAAUGCCAAGCAAAGAAAUAAAAACUAAAAAAGAAACAGAAGAAAAAUGUAUACUACUGUGAGAAAUGUGGUCUAAAUAAAGAACAAGGAAAGACUAUACACUCUUUAAUCAUAGGAAUAUAAAAUCCUUCUUAUAAGAGAAUGUUCCAGAAGUGUGCUAAAGGUUUGUAUUAUUUUAUACAGAAAGAGGAGUCUUAAUUUUUUUUUGUAAACAGUUUGAGAUUUCAGAGUUGACUCCCUAAUUUAUUUAAAACAAGAAUUGCUUCAUGAAUUAGCCUCAAGCACUCCUCAGGAAGUUAUUUAUGUGGUACUUCACCAUGGCUGCAGGUUUAUAUCAAGCCACAACUGUAUAAACAAAGACUAUUAACCUACCGGCUGGAUUUAGCAGACACUUUAGUGUAUUUAAAUCUGCUGACAUUUCAAAUGACUAUGUCUCCAGAUUCUUCACAGAUCAACCACAGCAGUGACAAGACUAUUUCUGAGUAGCUCUAAGCCAAACAAUGUGUGUGUUCUAAACAAUGACCACUAAAAAAAUGAGGGCUGGUAUUCUGCUUUUACUCAAACUUAUGCUAAGUAUUUUCAGUGGGGCUGGAAGAGUAUCAGGGUGGCUCAAAAAUGAGGAAGGCUUCAGAUGGUCUUGAAGGUAAUGAUGUAACUCUUGCAUUUUUCCACAUAUAGCACAUAAUUAUUAGUAGUAAAUAAUUUAUUGGUCAACUGGGAGAUAAUUGUUUUUCCUCUUCUGUUUUCUUUCUUUGGUAAGAUUUUAGAUGAGUGGUAUUGUUUGGGACUGUCCUCCCUUCUCAUUGUUUCAGAGUGGAUCUCAGGAAGUGUCACUGAGGAGUGGGGACAUUUAGACAGGAGGAAAAAGAGCCAGUGAGAGGGGAUUUCCACCCAAAUGGGCAUCUGGGGCUUGGUCCUACCUGGAACCUUCGAGUAGCCUACAUGUCAGGACUUUGCCGGGAAGGAGCUAGGAAAUGGGGUAUUUACCCACAAAUUCCUUUUGUUGGUGCAGGAGUGUGCCUGGGCUUUGCAUUCUGGAGGAAAUCCCAGAGUGAGAAGGAGAAAAGGUUGGUGCUUUAAAUCUGAAGCUGUCAGCUGGCAAGGAAAGUGUCUAUGAUCCUUCCAAUGACUAGCUCAGAGGAAAUACCAAUGGUGCAUCAACAGGCUUGGAUGCGCUAGCCAUUUUUACAUAAAAAAAUGUUUAGGUUUGUCAUGAGAAAUUAUUUUUAUUUUCUCCAGCAGAAAGAGGAUCUUUUUGACUAUUUGCUUAAAAAAAGACUUCAGUGGAAUGAUUUGAGACAGGUUUUCCAGUUGUACGCUGCAACAACAUUAACAUGACAAAUGAACACAGAAGCCAAGUUAAAUUAUCAGAGUACUGCUGGGAAGCGAAAUAUUAUAAAGCCUUUAAACAUCAUCCUUUUGGAAUUUUUAAUAACUUGAAAAGAUGUUAAGUGAAAUGCUAACAUUAAGUGAAAAAAACAGGUUAUAGAACUGUACAAUUUCAGUUAUAUGAGAAAAAUAUUUAUGUAAGAAAAAGAAAGACUAGAAAAAAUAUGCCAACAGUUUUGUGAUUGGUUUCU